AUUGAACGCUGGCGGCAGGCCUAACACAUGCAAGUCGAACGAGUGGCGGACGGGUGAGUAAUGUCUGGGAAACUGCCUGAUGGAGGGGGAUAACUACUGGAAUCGGUAGCUAAUACCGCAUACCAUCGGAUGUGCCCAGGUGGGAUUAGCUAGUAGGUGGGGUAAAGGCGCACCUAGGCGACGACCCCUAGCUGGUCUGAGAGGAUGACAAGACACUCUGGAACUGAGACACGGUCCAGACUCCUACGGGAGGCAGCAGUGGGGAAUAUUGCACAAUGGGAGAAAGCCUGAUGCAGCCAUGCCGCGUGUAUGAAGAAGGCCUUCGGGUUGUAAAGUACUUUCAGCGGGGAGGCGUUACCCGCAGAAGAAGCACCGGCUAACUCCGUGCCAGCAGCCGCGGUAAUAC
rnacentral:rRNA from 1 species